UACGGGGGGGGCGAGCGUUGUUCGGAAUCACUGGGCGUAAAGGGCGCGUAGGCGGCCCGCACAAGUCUGCGGUGAAAACCCCCGGCUUAACCGGGGGCCGGCCGUGGAAACUGUCGGGCUGGAGGCUGGGAGAGGGCGGCGGAAUUCCCGGUGUAGCGGUGAAAUGCGUAGAGAUCGGGAGGAACACCGGCGGCGAAGGCGGCUGCCUGGACCAGUCCUGACGCUGAGGCGCGAAAGCUAGGGGAGCAAACAGG
rnacentral:rRNA from 1 species